GACGUAGGGCGCGAGCGUUGUCCGGAUUUAUUGGGCGUAAAGAGCUCGUAGGCGGCUUGUCGCGUCGACUGUGAAAACUUGGGGCUCAACCCCAAGCUUGCAGUCGAUACGGGCAGGCUAGAGUUCGGUAGGGGAGACUGGAAUUCCUGGUGUAGCGGUGAAAUGCGCAGAUAUCAGGAGGAACACCUGAGGUGAAGACGGGUUGCUGGGCUGACACUGACGCUGAGGCGCGAAAGCCAGGGGAGCAAACGGG
rnacentral:rRNA from 1 species